AAAAGUAAUUUUUUACAGUUUAUACCAGCUGUCAGUAAUUUACUGCUCCUCGCUGUGUCCAUCAUUGGCGGUGUGCACUGCCAACCAAAUCAAGCCAAACGGAGUGCGCAAGGCCAUCUCCUCCAGCUCUCCAUACAUUGCCAUGAAGAAAGAUUUUACUCAUUUAACAAAAGGAUUGAUCAUUAUGUGGUAAACAGUGUUGAUAUUGUGGCUGUCUAACAAAUCAACAUCGGCGGAGUAUGUGUUGGUCUGUGUAUCUGUAUGUGAAUGUAUAGGUAAAACCUGGAAAAUUGGCUACGCAGUUUAGUGACGUAUUAACAUUGCUGCUGAUGUUUACCGCACCCCGACACCGUCGUCAGCUCUUAUCACCCCAAACGCUCUCACUUUUCAAACACCACUUUUCACUGGCAGGUAUUUGUUUUCUUUUAGUUUUUUUCAUUUCUGUCUCCCCACUCGCACGCGGUGAAUACCCACUGUGUUCACACAUCAACUUCUCCUGGAUUUCUACGGACAUCAUACUAGGAGAUAAGGCUGAUAAAGUCAGCAAAAACUCGGAAGCGUCUCACUCGGACAAUUUAUGUUCACACAUGCACCUCCCCCGGAGAACAUACGGAGGAAAGCAGCUUGAGUGACAGACACAACACUGUCUCAGCUGUACCUCAGCCAGCAUUUGCAUUUGUUUUGGAAGGAGUGAAAAAAAGAGACCUUUGCUUGCAGGAUGCAUAGCGAUGAGGUAAUAUAUCUUUUUGUUUAUGUAUGAUAUGAAAACAUGAUUAUUUUGUUUUAGUACCGUUCACUUUGGUUUCAUGUAAAUCUUCAUUAUGUAGAUGCUAGAGAAUAGCAAUUUCAUUGUAAAAGCUAAAGUUAGCAACAUUACAUCAUAAUGUUAUGUAUUCACCAAGCAAACAGCGGCUAUAGAUCGGUUGCAAGGCCGACAGAGUGUUGCGUUGUAAGCCAACUGGCGCUUUCUAGCAAGCAAUACAGCAGACUAGAGAAAAGCUUACCUCAGGCUUUGAAACUUUUCAAUUUAACAUCUCUAUGAUACCACAACAAAACAUCUAUUUUUUAAUGAUUUCUUUUACGGUCAUCCAUUUAAAUUGUUUUACGAGGAGCUUAAAGGAACAACUACAAUUUCAUUAUACAAUCCUGUGUUGCAAAAUUAUACAUGUGAACCUUGUUGCUUGUAUUAAUAUAAUAUAAUUUUCUCCAGACUGUACGCAGCCAUUUGAAUUAAAAGUUAAGGUUAAAAUUAACAGCCUUUAGCAUGGUGGAAACUUUAUUUUUCUUUCUUUAUUUCUACCCUACCAACUCUAAUAGCUAACUAUUAUCUGCCAAUAUUUCACAGGCCAUGUCAAUGCAGGACCUCAGUUUGAAAUUGAGGGGUUCACUUCCAGUUCCUCUGAAUUUGCGUCUGAGCAGAAACAUCAGCUCCUGGAGAAGUCAUGUUGAGGCUUCCAGGACUUAUCUUUGAUGUACUGGACUUGGAGCCUGUCCGAAACCCAGAGACCCCAAACCGAGGACAACCACAAUGGUGAUACUGCAGGGAGAUGCCGACUGACUUGAGGAGCUGAUAUCUAGUUUGUUCGAGGCUUACAGGCUAAAGUAAUGGUUGAUGAGGAUGAUGACGAUUUGAAACAACUGGACCUCAUCCAUUAAGUCACGUCUAUGCAGUUCACACUUUGAGGAUCAGGUCUUCACUCACAAGAGGGUGUCCACACUGAAAACUGAAUGACUGGGGUCAACAGAAGGAAUACCUCAUGCAUGGAGCAGCAUAUUUGGUGCCAUUGUCAGGAUGUGGAGGAGAGAGACAGGAUACCAACAUCCUUAAUUAUUUAAUGAGUUGUGAUGAUGAUAUCAAUAAACCACCUUCAGUUCAGUUCUCUCUGAUGAGAUGACAGACUAACAGAACUUUGUAUCAUUCUCUGUAUUCACAGGUUCAGUUGCUUGCCUUUUACUUAAUUUCUUCUGUUUUUAGAGGUGGUAGGAACAUUUUUAAAACAUAAUUGAAAAACUGUUAAACUGAUAUUACCUGAUGGAUCCAUUCAGCAGUCACAACCUUCACAGGUAAGUGUUAAACAAUGUGACAUGAAGAGACUUCAAUAUUAUAUAGGUGGAACUGUCUAACCAGAAGGUCACCUUGACUAAAUGUAACUUCUAUAACAAAUGUUUACUGCUGUUAUCACUUAAUAAUUAUGUAUUAGACAUUCAAAGUCUUUCGUGUUUACUUAAGCUCUGAUGUUUACAUCUCGUAGCCACGGUUUGUGAUUCAACAGUAUGUUUAACACAGGUACAUGUAACCGAUUAAAUUUUCAAAUGACUACAGAAGAAUUGCCUGGUUUUUGCACAUUGACUUUUUCCUUAUAAUAAAUCCAA